GGAGAGUUGGCAGAGAGGUUUAACGCGCUCGGUUGCUAGCCGAGUGGCCGUACGAUUGAUGGUUCGUGGGUUCGAAUCCCACACUCUCCU
rnacentral:tRNA from 1 species